UACGUAGGGGGCGAGCGUUGUCCGGAUUCACUGGGCGUAAAGCGCACGUAGGCGGCUUUGUAAGUCGGAUGUGAAAUCCCUCGGCUUAACCAAGGAAGUGCAUCCGAAACUACAGAGCUUGAGUACUUAAGAGGAUCGCGGAAUUCCCGGUGUAGAGGUGAAAUUCGUAGAUAUCGGGAGGAACACCAGUGGCGAAGGCGGCGAUCUGGGAAGAUACUGACGCUGAGGUGCGAAAGCGUGGGGAGCAAACAGG
rnacentral:rRNA from 1 species